rnacentral:rRNA from 1 species
UACAGAGGGUGCAAACGUUGCUCGGAAUUAUUGGGCGUAAAGCGCAUGUAGGCGGCACGUUAAGUCGACUGUGAAAGCCCUUGGCUCAACCAAGGAAGUGCAGUCGAAACUGGCGAGCUUGAGUUCUGAAGAGGGUCGCGGAAUGGCCAGUGUAGAGGUGAAAUUCGUAGAUAUUGGCUAGAACACCAGUGGCGAAGGCGGCGACCUGGGAAGAAACUGACGCUGAGAUGCGAAAGCGUGGGUAGCAAACAGG